AUGGACUCAGCAGCUUGUGGGAGGAAGAUCAAGCUGAGCAAGCCCAUUCAGCGACCCUGCCAAAGGUUGUCCCAACUUCAGCCCGCUGCUGUUAUCGCCCCCAGCUUCCAAGCUAGAAACGUUCACCGGAAGGUAGGAGACAGGGAACACGUUGCAGAGAACCUGCCGUUCAGAUGACUACGGCUGCAGUUGAUCUGCUCUGUUCCUCCUUCGUGGCUGGACAAACUGCAUGCAUUUUGCCUACACAGAAAAAGAUUACUUCUCUUCCAAAUAACCUUGCUCAACCUACAAAAGCUUGCCGUUUUAUUCAUCAGUGAGAGGCAGUUAGUCAAGAUUCUAGCUGCCAUUUGUGACUCAUCCACACCUGUGAAGUGAGUAGAUAAGUAACAUUACAAUAUAAAUAAAUUCAGACAUCAAGGAAGGCAAAUCGUGAUUAUUCCUCUAAUAGAAAGUGACUCAAGGGUGCGUAGGAACAUCUGGGACAUUGAUGUUCAUUUCAUGUGACUGUUAGAAGAGUGCUUCUAUUCUGAGAAUGUGACCCUGGUGUGGUGAAGUUUUCUGUGGAGCCUUUUGAAAUUUAUAGUCAGUGACGUGGAAUGUCCAUCCAGGAGGAGUCUGACAAAUGCUGUGCCAGUCGAGGUUCAGCACCGUAGGUGUAGCGCAGGCGAAAUACGGUGCUGGAGCUUUGAGUACAAGCUGAAACACCGCACACCACCUCCUCUCUCUACCAUUCAGAACACUCUUUACAAAACUAAAAAACUGCCCCCCAAAAAAAAGAAAAAUAUAAAUGCAAACAUAAUAAAAUAAAAGGAAUAUUUCCCAGCUUCUGGAAAGAAAGCCAAGCCAAUGAUCUCUCUUAUAGGUGACAUGGGAUAGAGGAUCCCAUUCCAGAUUCCCCCAGGUGCUCCAUGAAACAGCACAGACUCUGGUUUUCCAUCAUCUCAGUUCCGGGGCCUUAAGGCCUCCCCCUUACCUCUCCUCUGAGUUCCUGUGGAAUCCACACUCCAGAGGUGGCCGCCCCACAGCCUGGGGCCUCCCCAGGGAGCUCUCAUUUGGGACUGCCCCAGCUCUGAUGUGUCAGGAGAGGCAUUUGCCUUUAGCCACCUGUUCAUUUGGGGGAAUUCUCCUAUAGGCUCCCUGUGUUCCCAGUUCUACAUUCAAAUCAUUCUGGGUCUUUUGGUCCUUGUGAUAAAACAUGAAACAGCAGAAAUAAACGUUUAACUAUUAAAACAAAGAGACCAAUUAAUUAUUGUUGUGGAAGUAUGUGAUGCUAUAUUAAAAACUAUUUUGGAA
rnacentral:lncRNA from 10 species